CGGCCGUUCUGGAACGUUCGGCCCGUAACGGUCGGCACCGUGAGGGAAGCUGAGGCGGGCGAAGAGGAGCUCAGCGCCGGCCCCGCAGCCCUUCUGGGGGCUGUUAAGCGGGCUCGUCUCAAGCCUGAGGCGGAGGAGGGUGGUGAAGCGGCGUCCUGGCAGGGAGAGUCGUGUCGUCGGGGAAAAUUUCCCUCAUUUUGUUACUGACCGGGAUGGGUGAAGGGGUAAGGAAGAUGCCCAGUGCAUGCACAGCCGGCAAACGGUGCCGGCGCUGGAGAGUCGAGGGGAGUUCAAGCUGGUCCUGCCGUCGUUUGCAGGCCGCACCGUCGCCGCCCGGGCAGUGACCCCCCCCCCCCCCCCCGCCGCGUCAGCCCCGGGGAGCCGCGGCCAGCCCCGCCGCUCGCAGCCAGCCCCCUGCUCCUCCUCAUCACCGGCACAAGGCGUUCGGGUUUAGGGCCGUAGUUCCAGAAGGAGCCUCCUCUCUGGUGGCUAGAAACCCGCUUCUAAUUUCCAUCUAAAUCUAUAGAUAUUUGGGGGUUUUUUGUUACAGACAUCCUUCUCUGUCGUUUACUUCCCCUUUCCGUGUAUUUACAUACCCAAUUCCCACUCAUCUGUUGUUUUGUUAGGUUACAUAAGCUAAACCUUUUCAGUCUUGCGUGAUGCAAGCUGUGCUCUGGUCAUUGGGACGUCCUUUCUGCAGGACUCUUUCAGUUUGAAUGCUUUUCUCUUGAGAGAGGCUGCCUUAUGGAGCAUUUUAGACAGUCGUCUCAGCAGUGCCUCAAACUGGAACACUGUUUUCCUGUCCUUACUGGAAAUACCAUGAUGGGACUCACACUUGUCUUUUUCACAGUCACGCCACGCUGUCAGCUCCCUAUCACCCUGUGGUUGGUUAGUAAAGCCAAGUCCUUCUCCUCUUUGCUUAUUUCUUGUUAGGAUACCAACAAAGAGCAAAAUAUAUCUUUAUUAUUUCCUGGAUGCCUGAAGUUUCAAUUUUAUACUACACUACAGGGUUUUCCCACAAAACUGGCUUUUAGUAAACUCAUGCUACCUUUUAUCCCUUUAUUCAUUGAAUUUCAUGUUUGUAGUUAAACUUGCCUUCGCAAGUUUUCCAGAAGAACUGCACGGACAUCAAAAGCGCAGGCCCAAACCUCUUCCACCAUGGCUCACUUUAAAUACUUGCUGUUCUCUGGUCCUGUGGCAAUGCCUCCAAGUCAGUAAAUUUACUUAAAAUCUUUGCACCUGGAUUUGUGCUUUACUGUGCCUCGGGAUUCUGGGACUGAGAAUGUCUGGUUUCUCCAGUAGACUCUCUUGAGUUUUGCUUGCCAGCUGGCUGUGUUCAUUUACUAUCUUGUAUCAAUUUCUCCCUUCUACCCCUCUUCUUAGGCGUCCUGUCUUUACCCCAUGGAUUAACAUGUUCAUCCUUAAUGAAAAUCAGGGAAGCAUUAAUUUAAUCUUGUGUGAGUAGCUGGGUUACCUUUAUUUUCCCAUUCUUGUUUUACAGUGAUCCUUUUUUCUUCUUCUUUUUUUUUUUAUUAUUAUUUCUUGUAGCUAUAGUACCUUUGUGAUGUUUGUCUUAGUUUCCUUUUGGGAUUCAGACUCUGGCUGAUUUUUGGCAAUAUCUAUCUGCAGCUUUUAGAAUGUACUUGACUUCCUUUUUGAGGUGCUUAUCUUGCUAUGGCAGAAGGCCUUCCUUACUCAUCAACCCCUUUGUCUUCCUCUACCCAUACCAGCCUUUCCAUCUCUGUUUUGUCUGGGAUGUCUUUUCUGUCUUCUAAAGUCACUUUAUAUAGUUUACCUCUUUAGUCACUAGAGUCAGCCAAUGUACAGAUGAGGAGGUUGUCAUGGAGGUCCUGGUCUCUCCACAACCUCAUCCCACUCACAGUGCAUGCAAGCAUAAAACAUGGCCUUCGGUCACGCUAGACCAGAGCAGAUGGUGUGAAGAUGGGUAUAUCUCGUCACACCUAAGGCUUGUACUCAUCUACCAAACUCUGCUUUACAGCUGAAGGAAUUUUCUGCUGCUGUUCAAGGCACGCUAAUGCCUUGUCACAGACCAUCCCAGUGACAAUUCCCUUCUGCUGUGGUGAUCUGACAGGAACAGUAGCCCAAUGCCUCAUCAUUUCUUUGACAGUCCAUUAGCAAAACAAAAGAAACAAAAACCACAGUAGCAGCAGCAAAUGCUCUGGAGGAAAGCAGUCAUCUGGCGUGAUUGACAUUGAUUUUCUGCCUCAGAGAGCUUCAAUCGGAGAAGGCUCAGAUCAACACAAACAGAACGGGGAGUUACAGGUGGAGCCUUUCCACUGGCCUCAGGUGGCAUUUGAUCAGGCUUUGGUCAAUAACAGAAGGAAACAGUGCCGCAUUCUUAUUAAACAAUGUGUUUGUCUUUAAACUAUGAGAUACCAAUUAAACCUUUAUCACAAAAAUAAAGUCCAGAGACAGUUAUACAAGGUGA